CUUAGUCUCCCAGUGGGCUGGGAUUAUAGGUAUGAGCCACCUCACCUGACCUGCGACGAUUUUUCAAUGAUGUAAUUUCUCUUUUACAGAGCCACCUAAGCUGAAGAUUCCCUUGAGAACAAGUACUGUCCCUGGUUUCCCAGUGCUGGAAUAUAGAAAAUGGAUGGACAAGUAAAUCCCACUCAGCACCCAUAGUCCAGGCGUGGGGACCUCAACACACCUGAGCCCCAGACAUCACCUUUCAUUCUGGACCUACCAUGAAAGACUUCUGAAUCCAGGAAGAGAAACUGACUGGGCAACAUGUUAUUCAGACUUCUGACCAAAUGUGUGUGCAGAGUUUCUACACCAGUUCUCCAACUCUCUGGAUACCAACCGCGUAUCCCACAAUUCCAUUCUGACACUACCUAGAGUUAGCACAGAACCCACAGGUUAGGGGCUCAGUCCCACAAGACCACCCUCACUUCAGAUGCCAGUUGCAAGUCCUAGGUUGUCACCUGUAUUUUGACCAACCAGUUAGAAAUCAGGGUUUCCCAUGACCCUCUUGUUGAGUUUAAUUAUUUACUAGAACAACUCACAGAACUUAGAAAAACAAGUUUUUUUUCUUUUCUUUUUAAGAGACAGGGCCUCGCUCUGUUGUCCAAGCUGGUGUGCAGUGGUGCAAUCAUAGCUCAUUGAAGCCUCAACGUCCAGAGCUCAAGUGAUUCUCCUGCUUCAGCCUCUCAAGUAGCUGGAAUUACAGGGUUCCCACCACCACAUUUGGCUAAUUUCUUUUAUUUUUUGUAUAGAUGGGGUCUUCUUAUGUUGCCCAGGUUGGUCUCAAAUUCCUAGGCUCAAGUGAUUCCGCCCACCUCUGCCUCCCAAAGUGCUGGGAUUACGGGCAUGAGCCAGCGCAUCUGGCCACCUUAUUUUCUAUUACUGGCUCAAUGUAAUGGCUCCAUCUCAGGAACAGCCAAUGAAAGAGAUGCACAGGACAAGGAAGUGAGCUCACAAUGACUCAAGCUGCCACAUACUGUUGAUUGUGAAAUGCCAGUUGAAGCAUAUGUCCUGCGAGCUUAGGGGUGCUAC
rnacentral:lncRNA from 1 species